rnacentral:tRNA from 1 species
GUGGUGGCUCAGCGGUAGAGCACUCGCCUCGCGCGCGGGUGAGACCCUGGGUUCUAUCCUCAGCACCACA